UACGUAGGGGGCAAGCGUUGUCCGGAUUUAUUGGGCGUAAAGAGCGUGUAGGCGGCUAGAUAGGUCCGUUGUGAAAACUCGAGGCUCAACCUCGAGACGUCGAUGGAAACCAUCUGGCUAGAGUCCGGAAGAGGAGAGUGGAAUUCCUGGUGUAGCGGUGAAAUGCGCAGAUAUCAGGAAGAACACCCGUGGCGAAGGCGGCUCUCUGGUACGUGACUGGACGCUGAGACGCGAAAGCGUGGGGAGGCAAACAGG
rnacentral:rRNA from 1 species